UAUUCCGGGAUAGCCUUUCGAAAGAAAGAUUAAUACCGGAUAGUAUAACGAGAAGGCAUCUUCUUGUUAUUAAAGAAUUUCGAUAACCGAUGGGGAUGCGUUCCAUUAGUUUGUUGGCGGGGUAACGGCCCACCAAGACAUCGAUGGAUAGGGGUUCUGAGAGGAAGGUCCCCCACAUUGGAACUGAGACACGGUCCAAACUCCUACGGGAGGCAGCAGUGAGGAAUAUUGGUCAAUGGACGAGAGUCUGAACCAGCCAAGUAGCGUGAAGGAUGACUGCCCUAUGGGUUGUAAACUUCUUUUAUAUGGGAAUAAAGUGAGCCACGUGUGGCUUUUUGUAUGUACCAUACGAAUAAGGAUCGGCUAACUCCGUGCCAGCAGCCGCGGUAAUACGGAGGAUCCGAGCGUUAUCCGGAUUUAUUGGGUUUAAAGGGAGCGUAGGCGGACUAUUAAGUCAGCUGUGAAAGUUUGCGGCUCAACCGUAAAAUUGCAGUUGAUACUGGUCGUCUUGAGUGCAGUAGAGGUAGGCGGAAUUCGUGGUGUAGCGGUGAAAUGCUUAGAUAUCACGAAGAACUCCGAUUGCGAAGGCAGCUUACUGGACUGUAACUGACGCUGAUGCUCGAAAGUGUGGGUAUCAAACAGGAUUAGAUACCCUGGUAGUCCACACAGUAAACGAUGAAUACUCGCUGUUUGCGAUAUACGGCAAGCGGCCAAGCGAAAGCAUUAAGUAUUCCACCUGGGGAGUAC
rnacentral:rRNA from 1 species